rnacentral:tRNA from 1 species
GACAUAGUGACUGAGUGGUAAAGUGCUUGCUUCUGAACAGACGGGUCUGAGAUCGAAUCUCUGUGAUGUUU